rnacentral:rRNA from 1 species
UACGGAGGGUGCGAGCGUUGUCCGGAAUCACUGGGCGUAAAGGGUGCGUAGGUGGUUAGGUAAGUCCGAUGUGAAAUCUCCAGGCUCAACCUGGAAAUGGCAUUGGAUACUAUUUAGCUUGAGGAGUGGAGGGGGGACUGGAAUUCUCGGUGUAGCAGUGAAAUGCGUAGAUAUCGAGAGGAACACCAGUGGCGAAGGCGAGUCCCUGGACACUUCCUGACACUGAGGCACGAAAGCUAGGGGAGCAAACAGG